AACGAACGCUGGCGGCAUGCCUAACACAUGCAAGUCGAACGAGACCUUCGGGUCUAGUGGCGCACGGGUGCGUAACGCGUGGGAACCUGCCCUUAGGUUCGGAAUAACUCACCGAAAGGGGUGCUAAUACCGGCUAAUGUCUUCGGACCACAGUUUUAGCGCUUUUGGCUGGGCCCGCGUUGGAUUAGCUAGUUGGUAGGUUAAACGCCUACCAAGGUGACGAUCCAUAGCUGGUCUGAGAGGAUCAUCAGCCACACUGGGACUGAGACGCGUCCCAGACUCCUACGGUAGGCAGCAGUGUGGAAUAUUGGACAACGCGCCAAAGCCUGAUCCAGCAAUGACGCGUGAGGGAUGAAUGCCUUAGUGUUGUAAAGCUCUUUUACCCGUGAUGAUAAUGACAGUACCGUGAGAAUAAGCUCCGGCUAACUCCGUG
rnacentral:rRNA from 1 species